UUUGUAAAGUCAAUUUUUUUUAACUUCCUCUGAACCGCUCGGUAUGAAACGUACUAAGUUUGAGGGUAAGGAUUUGGCAAUUGAUGCAUUCAGAUGAGUCAUCUGAAUGGGACCCACAUAAGUAGUGAUAUAUAGCACCCCCCAAAAUACCCCUCCGCUUCUCUUGACCGGUUUGGAACGAUAUUCUUACAAAAACAUUUGCAUCUAUAGUAAAUAUUUGUGUGCCAUUUGCAAGACCCACCCAAGGGCCAUUUCCUGAGUGGCUGCAAAUUAGUGCAUUAAUUAAACACACACACACAUUCUUUCUUAAUGAGCCGUGGCUGCCAUCAAUCGCGACGUGAUUUAUUCCAAUUGGACUCGAGGUUAUCUUUUACUUACAUCGUCUUUCCAAAAUGGUGCUCAUUUCCCUUCUGAUCCAACCCAAAUUUUCCAUUUGGAAACACCGUAGCUAGAAAUAAGAAGAGCCGCUUUCCCCAAAGCCAGCACGCCUAAAGGCAGAGCGAGGCAUUUUGAUGCAGACUGCAGCAGUGAUGUCGGAGGGAAAUGGGCCACUUUGCAAUUGAGAUCAAAUGUCCCACUGCCAGGCUGCCCUGAGAGCAAGGUGAAGACACACAUCAUGCUCCCGUACCUUGUCAUCCUUAGCAGUGGAGGCUGAUACAGAAGUCGCUCAGCACAAGUCAAGCACAUAACCGUUUCGGCAUGAGAGGUCUCAGGAAUAAGGGUGCCUGUGUAUCGUUGGGAUGAAGACAAGUCCUGUUCAACAUGUGCUGACCCAACCAGAACACAGUGAAAGGAGGGUGGGGGGU